AUGAGUGAGCUUCGGUUCCACAAUCUCCAAGACGACAGUGACGGCGAAGACGCUGACAGCGAGUUCAGGUACAACAAGAACGAUGACGCCAAAGGAAUCGCAACCAUGCUCCAGCUACGCUCCCUACAGCUCUUUGCCAACAACCUCACCAACGAAGGGCUGACGGCGAUCCUCGACAACUGCGUCCACCUCGAGUCCCUUGACAUUCGCCACUGCUUCAAUGUCAUCAUGAACGACGCCCUGCGAGCAAAGUUCUCCAGGAUCAAGACGCUGAGGCUUCCCAACGACUCGACAGAUGACUACGACCUCGAGGCUUUGAGCCCUAUCUGGUCAGGUAUUGGCAUGGGCGUUGACACCGACAGUGACGGUGAUUUCUUCUAUGGCGGGCCUGACUACAUUCUGGACUCGGAUGAGUACGACGAUUACUUGGAUCCUGAGCGCUACCUUGAUGGCGUCUACAUCGGCAGGCGUGUUACUCUCAUGGAUCUGCUUGAUUCGGGCUACUGA
rnacentral:rRNA from 1 species